UACAGAGGGUGCAAGCGUUGUUCGGAAUUAUUGGGCGUAAAGGGUGCGUAGGCGGCGCGGUAAGUCGGGUGUGAAAUCUCGGAGCUUAACUCCGAAACUGCAUUCGAUACUGCCGUGCUUGAGGACUGGAGAGGAGACUGGAAUUUACGGUGUAGCGGUGAAAUGCGUAGAUAUCGUAAGGAAGACCAGUGGCGAAGGCGGGUCUCUGGACAGUUCCUGACGCUGAGGCACGAAGGUCAGGGGAGCAAACGGG
rnacentral:rRNA from 1 species